UACGGAGGGUGCAAGCGUUAAUCGGAAUUACUGGGCGUAAAGCGCGCGUAGGCGGCUGGAUAAGUCGAUUGUGAAAGCCCCGGGCUCAACCUGGGAAUUGCAGUCGAGACUGUUCGGCUAGAGUGUGGGAGAGGGCAGUGGAAUUCCCGGUGUAGCGGUGAAAUGCGUAGAUAUCGGGAGGAACAUCGGUGGCGAAGGCGGCAUCCUGGACCAACACUGACGCUGAGGAGCGAAAGCCAGGGGAGCAAACGGG
rnacentral:rRNA from 1 species